rnacentral:rRNA from 1 species
GACGAACGCUGGCGGCGUGCUUAACACAUGCAAGUCGAGCGGUAAGGCCCUUUCGGGGGUACACGAGCGGCGAACGGGUGAGUAACACGUGGGUGACCUGCCCUCAGCUCUGGGAUAAGCCUGGGAAACCGGGUCUAAUACCGGAUAUGACUCCAUGACGCAUGUUGUGGGGUGGAAAGCCUUGUGCGGCUGAGGAUGGGCCCGCGGCCUAUCAGCUUGUUGGUGGGGUGANGGCCUACCAAGGCGACGACGGGUAGCCGGCCUGAGAGGGCGACCGGCCACACUGGGACUGAGGCACGGCCCAGACUCCUACGGGAGGCAGCAGUGGGGAAUCUUGCGCAAUGGGCGAAAGCCUGACGCAGCGACGCCGCGUGAGGGAUGACGGCCU